rnacentral:rRNA from 1 species
CAGCCGGAUAAUCGGGAGAAAUUCCGUCUAAUACGGCAUAAUGCAUCGACGGGACAUCCUGUUGGUGCCAAAGGUUGAUUCCGGUGGCGGAUGGGCAUGCGUCGCAUUAGUUAGUUGGCGGUGUAACGGACCACCAAGACGACGAUGCGUAGGGGUUCUGAGAGGAAGGUCCCCCACACUGGUACUGAGACACGGACCAGACUCCUACGGGAGGCAGCAGUGAGGAAUAUUGGUCAAUGGGCGGGAGCCUGAACCAGCCAAGUCGCGUGAGGGAUGACGGCCCUAUGGGUUGUAAACCUCUUUUGCCGGGGAGCAAAGUGCCGCACGUGUGCGGUUUGGAGAGUACCCGGAGAAAAAGCAUCGGCUAACUCCGUGCCAGCAGCCGCGGUAAUACGGAGGAUGCGAGCGUUAUCCGGAUUUAUUGGGUUUAAAGGGUGCGUAGGCGGACGCUUAAGUCAGCGGUAAAAUUGCGGGGCUCAACCUCGUCGAGCCGUUGAAACUGGGUGCCUUGAGUGGGCGAGAAGUACGCGGAAUGCGUGGUGUAGCGGUGAAAUGCAUAGAUAUCACGCAGAACUCCGAUUGCGAAGGCAGCGUACCGGCGCCCAACUGACGCUGAAGCACGAAGGCGUGGGUAUCGAACAGGAUUAGAUACCCUGGUAGUCCACGCAGUAAACGAUGAAUGCUAGUUGUCCGGGGCGAUUGAGUUCUGGGUGACACAG